rnacentral:rRNA from 1 species
GGGUCAGUAGGUUGGUCGUGCCACCGGUACGUACUGGUCUCACUGAUUCCUCCUUCCUGAAGAACCGUAAUGCCAUUAAUUUGGUGUUGCGGGGAAACAGGACUGUUACUUUGAAAAAUUAGAGUGUUUAAAGCAAGCUAACGCUUGAAUACAUUAGCAUGGAAUAAUGAAAUAGGACGAUCGAUCCUAUUUUGUUGGCUUCUAGGAUUGACGUA